GGUGAGUAAUGCCUAGGAAAUUGCCCUGAUGUGGGGGAUAACCAUUGGAAACGAUGGCUAAUACCGCAUGAUGCCUACGGGCCAAAGAGGGGGACCUUCGGGCCUCUCGCGUCAGGAUAUGCCUAGGUGGGAUUAGCUAGUUGGUGAGGUAAGGGCUCACCAAGGCGACGAUCCCUAGCUGGUCUGAGAGGAUGAUCAGCCACACUGGAACUGAGACACGGUCCAGACUCCUACGGGAGGCAGCAGUGGGGAAUAUUGCACAAUGGGCGCAAGCCUGAUGCAGCCAUGCCGCGUGUAUGAAGAAGGCCUUCGGGUUGUAAAGUACUUUCAGUCGUGAGGAAGGUAGUGUAGUUAAUAGCUGCAUUAUUUGACGUUAGCGACAGAAGAAGCACYGGCUAACUCCGUGCCAGCAGCCGCGGUAAUACSGASGGUGCGAGCGUUAAUCGGAAUUACUGGGCGUAAAGCGCAUGCASGUGGUUUGUUAAGUCAGAUGUGAAAGCCCGGGGCUCAACCUCGGAAUAGCAUUUGAAACUGGCAGACUASAGUACUGUAGAGGGGGGKAGAAUUUCMGGUGUAGCGGUGAAAURCGUMGAGAUCUSAACGGWAUACCSGUSGCSAAGGSGSCCCCCWGGAYAGAUACUKAMAMUYAGAURYKAAARCSYGGGGRGCAAACAGGAUUAGAUACCCUGGUAGUCCACGCCGUAAACGAUGUCUACUUGGAGGUUGUGGCCCUGAGCCGUGGCUUUCGGAGCUAACGCGUUAAGUAGACCGCCUGGGGAGUACGGUCGCAAGAUUAAAACUCAAAUGAAUUGACGGGGGCCCGCACAAGCGGUGGAGCAUGUGGUUUAAUUCGAUGCAACGCGAAGAACCUUACCUACUCUUGACAUCCAGAGAACUUUCCAGAGAUGGAUUGGUGCCUUCGGGAACUCUGAGACAGGUGCUGCAUGGCUGUCGUCAGCUCGUGUUGUGAAAUGUUGGGUUAAGUCCCGCAACGAGCGCAACCCUUAUCCUUGUUUGCCAGCGAGUAAUGUCGGGAACUCCAGGGAGACUGCCGGUGAUAAACCGGAGGAAGGUGGGGACGACGUCAAGUCAUCAUGGCCCUUACGAGUAGGGCUACACACGUGCUACAAUGGCGCAUACAGAGGGCGGCCAACUUGCGAAAGUGAGCGAAUCCCAAAAAGUGCGUCGUAGUCCGGAUUGGAGUCUGCAACUCGACUCCAUGAAGUCGGAAUCGCUAGUAAUCGUGGAUCAGAAUGCCACGGUGAAUACGUUCCCGGGCCUUGUACACACCGCCCGUCACA
rnacentral:rRNA from 1 species